rnacentral:rRNA from 1 species
GGGCCCGCACAAGCGGUGGAGCAUGUGGUUUAAUUCGAUGCAACGCGAAGAACCUUACCAAGCCUUGACAUCCUCGGAACUUUCUAGAGAUAGAUUGGUGCCUUCGGGAACGCAGUGACAGGUGCUGCAUGGCUGUCGUCAGCUCGUGUCGUGAGAUGUUGGGUUAAGUCCCGUAACGAGCGCAACCCUUGUCCUUAUUUGCCAUCAUUUAGUUGGGCACUCUAGGGAGACUGCCGGUGACAAACCGGAGGAAGGUGGGGACGACGUCAAAUCAUCAUGGCCUUUAUGCCUAGGGCUACACACGUGCUACAAUGGCAGGUACAGAGGGCAGCGAAGUCGCGAGGCUAAGCAAAUCCCAGAAAGCUGUUCGUAGUCCGGAUUGGAGUCUGCAACUCGACUCCAUG